rnacentral:rRNA from 1 species
AGUUUUAAUAUUUAGUAUAAUUUUUUUUAAAAAAAGAAACAUCAUUUAUAUUUAGUAAUGGUGAAAGAAAUAGUUACGUAUUAAUACAUAAAUUGUACCGUAUGGAAAGUUAUAAAUUUUUUUCAAGUAGAAUCUUAAAUUUGUACCUUUUGCAUCAUGGUUUAGCAAGAAAAUUUUUUAAAUUAGAUUUCUAGAAACCUAAGGAGCUACCUUAGUUUUGGUUUAGCCUUAGACAGAGGUGGGUGUGGCAUAACCCUAUUUAAAAUUUAAGGUAGAAAUUAAAUGUUAUUCGUUUUAGGUGAUAGCUAGUUAUAAUAUAAAGAUAUACAAGUAUCGGAUAUAAUUUCAUUAUGUUUAUAUUGUGUAUAUAUAAUGACUUAUUUUCUUAGUUAUAUGAGGGUAAGCUCGUAUAAAUUUAUUUUAAUUAAAAUUUUAUAUAAAUCUAAGCUUGAGAUUAGCUACGAUGAAUUGGAAUUUGUUAAAAAUGCAUAUAUAUCAAAACUUUGCAAUAUAUUAAAUUUAUAUUAUUCAAUUAUAUAAUUAAAACAUUAUUGAUUUAUGCUAAAAUGAGUAUUAUUAUAAAUCAAAACAAAAAAUAAAAUAAAUUAAAUUUUUUUUAAAGAUUUUUUAUAAAUAUUAUGAAACAUAUCAUAGGAAUUCGGCAAAAAUUAGCUCCGCCUGUUUAGCAAAAACAUGUCUCUUUGAAAAGUGAACAUAAAGAGUCUGGCCUGCCCGG